CAGGCCUAACACAUGCAAGUCGAGCGGAAACGACACUAACAAUCCUUCGGGUGCGUUAAUGGGCGUCGAGCGGCGGACGGGUGAGUAAUGCCUAGGAAAUUGCCUUGAUGUGGGGGAUAACCAUUGGAAACGAUGGCUAAUACCGCAUAAUGCCUACGGGCCAAAGAGGGGGACCUUCGGGCCUCUCGCGUCAAGAUAUGCCUAGGUGGGAUUAGCUAGUUGGUGAGGUAAUGGCUCACCAAGGCGACGAUCCCUAGCUGGUCUGAGAGGAUGAUCAGCCACACUGGAACUGAGACACGGUCCAGACUCCUACGGGAGGCAGCAGUGGGGAAUAUUGCACAAUGGGCGAAAGCCUGAUGCAGCCAUGCCGCGUGUAUGAAGAAGGCCUUCGGGUUGUAAAGUACUUUCAGUUGUGAGGAAGGGGGUAGCGUUAAUAGCGCUAUCUCUUGACGUUAGCAACAGAAGAAGCACCGGCUAACUCCGUGCCAGCAGCCGCGGUAAUACGGAGGGUGCGAGCGUUAAUCGGAAUUACUGGGCGUAAAGCGCAUGCAGGUGGUUCAUUAAGUCAGAUGUGAAAGCCCGGGGCUCAACCUCGGAACUGCAUUUGAAACUGGUGAACUAGAGUACUGUAGAGGGGGGUAGAAUUUCAGGUGUAGCGGUGAAAUGCGUAGAGAUCUGAAGGAAUACCAGUGGCGAAGGCGGCCCCCUGGACAGAUACUGACACUCAGAUGCGAAAGCGUGGGGAGCAAACAGGAUUAGAUA
rnacentral:rRNA from 1 species